rnacentral:rRNA from 1 species
CUUGAGCAAUUAUAAGGGGUCCAGCCUGCCCAGUGACUAAGUUCAACGGCCGCGGUAUCCUAACCGUGCGAAGGUAGCGUAAUCACUUGUUCUUUAAAUGAGGACUAGUAUGAACGGCACCACGAAGGUUAUACUGUCUCCUUUCCCUAAUCAGUGAAACUAAUCUCCUCGUGAAGAAGCGAGGAUAAAAAUAUAAGACGAGAAGACCCUAUGGAGCUUUAAACAAUGCGACAACUGCUACUAGUCUAUUUAAGGCCCCAGAGUCUCUAAGUUAAUUUAGCACUUUGACGCAAGUUUUAGGUUGGGGUGACCGCGGAGCAUAAUACAACCUCCACGCUGAAAGAAUCCUAUUUUUAGCCAAGAGCUACUACCCCAAGCACCAGCACACUGUCAUCUAUUGACCCA